ACCCUGGGGAGAAAACAAAAAGAUAAUCCAUUUGAAAGUUGAUGUAACUCAUCGCAGUCGCUAGAGGUCAGUCACGACACUGAGGAUGAGGGGCGAGUGCUCCGAUUACAGCCUUAAAAUGAAAGCUGCUGGCACGAUUUUAAAAGCAUUUGCUUGAGCAAUACAAAAGAGGAAGAGAAAAUGACAUUUUGCUGAUCCCGUUCAUGUAACCUUAAUGAGAAACAGCAGUAAACGGGUCACACGAGCCUGUGCACGCUUCCAUUUCCAGGAGAGCAGACUGCGGCCCGUGCCAUCUGAUGACAGUUGGAGGACCGUGAUUCAGCACGUAGGAUGCAAUGAGGUCAGGCUCUCAAUCCACUCUGUGAUUUCACCUGCCUACGAAAUAGCAAAAGAUCACGGCGGCUGGGCAACCGCACCACAACAAAACACAAAUCACUGCCACCUGACCUUAGUGGACCUUCCACCGUGGCUGCAUUGCCCCAGGGUGCUUAGCUUUCGUGAGCAGUAACUACAGAAUGGAUACUCUUGUCGUUUGAAAAAAACAUUUGUCCUCCACCCGUAUUGAAUGGAAGGACAGUCACAAGACUUGAGAGGAAACACUGACCCUCUGGACGACAGACACGAACUCUCCACCACGGAAUUUGUCUCACCGAGAUGAUGGCCUCUGAGGAAUAUGUCAAACUCUCCGUUUUGAAAUAGAUUUUGGUGAACCUGGCUCUGCUGCUAUUCACGACUUACGGAGCUUUCCCUUAUGAACUGUCCGCAAGCUGCCGUGUGCAUUUCUGCCUGCACCUUGAAAGUUUCCACCUCUAAACUCAAGGCAGGAUCACAAUUUAUUAAGUAUCCUGAGCAGCAAUUGUUUUAUCCUAAAUUGAUUUAUCUCUAAAAUUAAAGACAAUCCUGACAUUUUCAACUGAAUGUUAUCGAGCCCUGUUUCAUAUGAUGAAGACUGGACCAUCCCUCUCACAUUCAGCUUCCAUCUGCAUGCUCAGGGCUGCCUCUCGGUGGGAUUUCAUCUUGAAGCCACUGCGGACUAGCU